rnacentral:rRNA from 1 species
GACAGAGGGGGCAAGCGUUGCUCGGAAUCACUGGGCGUAAAGGGCGCGUAGGCGGGAUGGCAAGUCGAGUCGUGAAAUCUCUCGGCUCAACCGAGAAACGUCGGCUGAUACUGCCGUUCUUGAGGGAUGCAGAGGAGACUGGAAUUCCCGGUGUAGCGGUGAAAUGUGUAGAGAUCGGGAGGAACACCGGUGGCGAAGGCGGGUCUCUGGGCAUUUCCUGACGCUGAGGCGCGAAAGCGUGGGGAGCAAACGGG